GGGUCAGUAGGUUGGUCGUGCCACCGGUACGUACUGGUCUCACUGAUUCCUCCUUCCUGAAGAACCGUAAUGCCAUUAAUUUGGUGUUGCGGGGAAACAGGACUGUUAAUUUGAAAAAAUUAGAGUGUUUAAAGCAAUCUAACGCUUGAAUACAUUAGCAUGGAAUAAUGAAAUAGGACGAUCGAUCCUAUUUUGUUGGUUUCUAGGAUUGACGUA
rnacentral:rRNA from 1 species